rnacentral:lncRNA from 1 species
UCAGAAAAAGACCCUAACACAACUGUUCAUACCAAUAUUGUUAGAAAAUGAAGUGUUGAAGUAUGUUACCAUAUUAUCCAAAAGCUCAAGUUGUUAGAGACAACAUGUUUUUGUUUGCUUAAUUAGGUCUUCAACACCCCCUUACACAUGGCCCUUGAGCUAAACACAUGCACAUUCCUUUUGAUAAUGGCUGGCGGUGGCCGGUGAGAUUAAACCUAGAACUUGU